rnacentral:lncRNA from 1 species
CCUUCUCCACCCUCUUUCUGUUGGGAAUCGGCACUCGCCCCGGUACCGAAUUUUGUGAAUCCGCAACUCACUCCGAUACUAUUUUUGUGGAUCCGGUACCUAUUGUUCAGAUUCCGCAAUGGAUGCGUCGAAUUAGGUUUUUACCAUAAACCCGUCUCCUCAGCGAAAGCUAAUACAAUUAUAAAAGAGAGAAAAAAAUUAAAAAAGAAAAUAUACGGGUAAAAUAAGAUUCAUUAAAUAAUAGAAGAUUACACCCGAUUCUUCUUCUGCAUAGAAUAGCUACAACCCGAACCCUUUUUUUCAAUCUCUUCUAUCUUUCUCUCGUCUUCUAUAAAUCCACAAAGAAGACAAUUCUCUCUUUUUCUCUCACAUGCACCCAUGCACUAGG